AGCUGGUCCAAGUGCAGUAGUGUUUACAACUAGUUGAUCACAACCAGUUACAGAUUUCUUUGUUCCUUCUCCACUCCCACUGCUUCACUUGACUAGCCUAAA
ensembl:misc_RNA Y_RNA Y RNA